GCCUCUACAUUUUGAAACCUUAAAGAACGGCAAUUGGGAACGCUAUUUUCGCCUAUUUGCCCUAAAAUUUUAUCCUUCAAAUUCGGCACUUCAAUGCCACGAUGUCUCACCGCGAUUUUAACUCCUUACGCACGAACUCUUCUGCCCUGGAUUCCGGUAACAUGAUUUCAAAUUUUUGUCAUAUCAAUUCUAAAAUCAGUUACUUUUACAUUAUUGAUAUCUCUUCUUCAAACGGCUCUACAACUUCUCACACCAAAUUCAAUUUCUAGGCAAUUUGAUACGGAAGAACAGAAGAAACUCACAGGAAAAAAAUUAAAUAUGCAUACGGAAGCAGAAAGGGGCUAAAUAUUCCUCGUGUAAGAAUGGUAUAAACUUUUAUCACUAUAUACAGA
rnacentral:lncRNA from 1 species